rnacentral:rRNA from 1 species
UACGUAGGGGGCAAGCGUUGUCCGGAUUUAUUGGGCGUAAAGAGCGUGUAGGCGGUUAGGUAGGUCCGUUGUGAAAACUCGAGGCUCAACCUCGAGACGCCGAUGGAAACCCCCUAACUAGAGUCCGGAAGAGGAGAGUGGAAUUCCUGGUGUAGCGGUGAAAUGCGUAGAUAUCGUCUGGAACGCCGAAGGUGAAAACAGACUGCUGGGGAUGCGCUGACGCUGAGACACGAAAGCCAGGGGAGCGAACGGG